rfam:Vibrio sp. MEBiC08052 genomic scaffold scaffold00002, whole genome shotgun sequence.
AUAAAGGCUCCUUUCGGAGCCUUUAUUUUUGGAAUCAAAUUUUAU